AGAGUUUGAUCAUGGCUCAGGACGAACGCUGGCGGCGUUAACACAUGCAAGUCGAGCGGAAAGGCCCUUUCGGGGGUACUCGAGCGGCGAACGGGUGAGUAACACGUGAGUAACCUGCCUCUGGCUUUGGGAUAACCCUCGGAAACGGGGGCUAAUACCGAAUAUUCAUUCUCGCAGGCAUCUGUGGGGUUGGAAAGUUUUUCGGCCAGGGAUGGGCUCGCGGCCUAUCAGCUUGUUGGUGGGGUAAUGGCCUACCAAGGCUUCGACGGGUAGCCGGCCUGAGAGGGCGACCGGCCACACUGGGACUGAGACACGGCCCAGACUCCUACGGGAGGCAGCAGUGGGGAAUAUUGCACAAUGGGCGGAAGCCUGAUGCAGCGACGCCGCGUGAGGGAUGACGGCCUUCGGGUUGUAAACCUCUUUCGACAGGGACGAAGCGCGAGUGACGGUACCUGGAGAAGAAGCACCGGCCAACUACGUGCCAGCAGCCGCGGUAAGACGUAGGGUGCGAGCGUUGUCCGGAUUUAUUGGGCGUAAAGAGCUCGUAGGCGGCUCGUCGCGUCGACCGUGAAAACCCACAGCUUAACUGUGGGCUUGCGGUUGAUACGGGCGGGCUAGAGUUCGGUAGGGGAGACUGGAAUUCCUGGUGUAGCGGUGAAAUGCGCAGAUAUCAGGAGGAACACCGGUGGCGAAGGCGGGUCUCUGGGCCGAUACUGACGCUGAGGAGCGAAAGCGUGGGGAGCGAACAGGAUUAGAUACCCUAGUAGUCC
rnacentral:rRNA from 1 species